rnacentral:tRNA from 1 species
AGAGAUUUAGGCUAAGAUAGACCAAGGGCCUUCAAAGCCCUAAGUAAGUAUAAUCAACUUAAUCUCUG